rnacentral:lncRNA from 10 species
CGCCAUUUUCCUGCCUCAGCCUUCCGAGUAGCUGGGACUACAGGCACCCGCCACCAGGCCGGCCAGCUAAUUUUUUGUAUUUUUAGUACAGACGGGGUUUCACCGUGUUAGCCAGGAUGGUCUAGAUCUCCUCACCUCGUGAUCCGCCCAUCUUGGCCUCCCAAAGUGCUGAGAUUACAGGCAUGAGCCACCGCGCCCUGCCUUCCAGUCACAUUUUUACACGAUUGUCCGUGCUUCAGUCAUGCCGUAUCUGCUGAAUUCUCCAUAAAAGGCCCAAGAAAAUGGGUUACAGGGAGCUUUUAGACAGCUGAACUUCUAGAGGCUUGCAGGAAGGUGGACAAGAACUCAUCCACAUACCAGACAGAGUCUUGCUCCGUCGCCGUCGCCCAGACUGGAGUACAGUGGUGUGAUCUCAGCUUACUGCAACCUCCACCUCCUGGGUUCAGGUACUUCUCCUGUCUCAGCCUCCCGAGUAGCUGGGAUUACAGGCACAAGCCACCAUGUCCAGCUAACUUUUUUAUUUUUUUUAGUAGAGAUGGGGUUUCACCAUAUAGGCCAGACUGGUUUCGAACUUCUGAACUUGUUUCCCACCUGCCUUGGCCUCCCAAAGUGCUGGGAUUACAGGCAUGAGCCAUUGCGCUCAGCCACCUUGAUUUUGUUGAAGGGCACAAACCACUUAUUUUUUGGAAUGCCCUUCAGUUGGAAAAAUCUAAUAAUUGCUUCUAAUGAGAAAUAUAGUAUACAUUUCUUGCAGCAAUUCUACAGAAGUAAUGCUAAUUUUUUCAAUGUGUCAUAACAGGAGUAAUAUGCCAUCCCUUAAUCCCUUUCCGGGAAUUAUUAAUGUCUAUUGUUUGGUUAAAAUUUUAUCUGUCUAUUGAUUUCACUUUAAAGUUACUAUUUUAUCUUUUAUAAUUAAUAAGCACUUUAGAGGAUGAUACUUUUGAUACUAGGUAAAUAUCACAUUACUCCUAAAACUUUUACUUAAUGGUUUUCAUGUUUAAUGAAUUUUGCCU